rnacentral:rRNA from 1 species
GAUGAACGCUGGCGGCGUGCCUAAUACAUGCAAGUCGAGCGAACAGACGAGGAGCUUGCUCCUCUGACGUUAGCGGCGGACGGGUGAGUAACACGUGGAUAACCUACCUAUAAGACUGGGAUAACUUCGGGAAACCGGAGCUAAUACCGGAUAAUAUAUUGAACCGCAUGGUGCAAUAGUGAAAGACGGUUUUGCUGUCACUUAUAGAUGGAUCCGCGCCGCAUUAGCGAGUUGGUAAGGUAACGGCUUACCAAGGCAACGAUGCGUAGCCGACCUGAGAGGGUGAUCGGCCACACUGUAACUGAGACACGGUCCAGACUCCUACGGGAGGCAGCAGUAGGGAAUCUUCCGCAAUGGGCGAAAGCCUGACGGAGCAACGCCGCGUGAGUGAUGAAGGUCUUCGGAUCGUAAAACUCUGUUAUUAGGGAAGAACAAAUGUGUAAGUAACUAUGCACGUCUUGACGGUACCUAAUCAGAAAGCCACGGCUAACUACGUG